GAUGAACGCUGGCGGCGUGCUUAACACAUGCAAGUCGAACGAGAAAUGUAGACGGAAACCUUCGGGCGGAAGCCUUCAUUUCGAGUGGCGGACGGGUGAGUAACGCGUGGGUAACCUGCCUCAUACAGGGGGAUAACAGUUGGAAACGACUGUUAAUACCGCAUAAGACCACAGCAUCGCAUGAUGCGGGGGUAAAAACUCCGGUGGUAUGAGAUGGACCCGCGUUCGAUUAGCCAGUUGGCGGGGUAACGGCCCACCAAAGCGACGAUCGAUAGCCGAUCGGGGAGGAUGACCGGCCACAUUGGGACUGAGACACGGCCCAAACUCCUACGGGAGGCAGCAGUGGGGAAUAUUGCACAAUGGGGGAAACCCUGAUGCAGCGACGCCGCGUGAGUGAAGAAGUACUUCGGUAUGUAAAGCUCUAUCAGCAGGGAAGAAAAUGACGGUACCUGAGUAAGAAGCCCCGGCUAACUACGUG
rnacentral:rRNA from 1 species